GAACUGAAGAGUUUGAUCAUGGCUCAGAUUGAACGCUGGCGGCAGGCCUAACACAUGCAAGUCGAGCGGAUGAAGGGAGCUUGCUCCUGGAUUCAGCGGCG
rnacentral:rRNA from 1 species